rnacentral:rRNA from 1 species
GAUGAACGUUGGCGGCGUGCCUAACACAUGCAAGUCGAACGAAAGUAGCAAUACUUUAGUGGCGCACGGGUGAGUAACACGUAGCUUACCUCCCUCUCAGCGCGGGAUAACGAACUCGAAAGAGUUGCUAAUACCGCAUAAGCUCACGGGUUCUAGAGACUUGUGAGAAAAGGUGCAAAAUCACUGAGAGACGGGGCUGCGGCCCAUCAGCUAGUUGGCGCGGUAAAGGCGCACCAAGGCGACGACGGGUAGGGGACCUGGA